rnacentral:lncRNA from 1 species
UCCUCAUCAAAACUAUUCAUGAUUCAAAACCUUGUUCAUGUGGGCCAUUGACAUUUGACACUAUGGUAAAACUGGUGUUUUAACCCAAAAAUUUGUAUUUUUCUUCAUCUCUGAAAAUUUAAAGGAAAAAAGAAAAAAUGUACAACCGCAUUAUUAUUUAAUAGUCUCUAGUACUUUCUUCAUGGGUUGUGUCAAAUAUUACACAUUUACACCAUUAACACUUAACAGUGAAUUUGCUAUCAUAAUAGAGUUAUAGACUGCACUAGAAACUGCAUGUCACAUUUUGGAAAAACAGCUAAGCAUUGUGUGAUUGUAUUCAACUACCAGGGAAAUUAAAUUCUACAAAAAAAAUGAAGUC